CCAAUAGCGUAUAUUAAAGUUGUUGCAGUUAAAAAGCUCGUAGUUGAACUUCGGGGUUUACUCAUUGGUCAGGCUUAAUUGUCUGCACUGGUGAGAUGAAUCUCUACCUUCUGAGGAACUUUCAUGCCAUUUAUUUGGUGUGAUUGGAAAUCAGGACUGUUACUUUGAAAAAAUUAGAGUGUUUAAAGCAGGCUAACGUCUGAAUACAUUAGCAUGGAAUAAUGAAAUAGGACGGACUGAUUCUAUUUCGUUGGUUUCUAGGAUCACCGUAAUGAUUAAUAGGGAUAGUUGGGGGCAUUAGUAUUCAAUUGUCAGAGGUGAAAUUCUUGGAUUUAUUGAAGACUAACUACUGCGAAAGCAUUUGCCAAGGAUGUUUUCAUUAAUCAAGAACGAAAGUUAGGGGAUCGAAGACGAUCAGAUACCGUCGUAGUCUUAACCAUAAACUAUGCCGACUAGGGAUCGGAUGAUGUUAAUUUUUUAAUGACUCAUUCGGCGCCUUACG
rnacentral:rRNA from 1 species